rnacentral:lncRNA from 1 species
AAAAUGGAACGUGAGGAAUCAUGAACCGAAGCUUUAGAGGAGCUUCGGCAAGAAGAGCUGAUCGACAGGAUUGGCUGUGUGAUAAAUUCAGCAGAGUUGGCCGAUGACAUUGUAGGCAACAAGAAGGCCGAGAUGGCCGAUAGUGAUAUGGUGAAAUCGGCUGUUAAAGCUGAUUCGAAAGUAAAAUCGGUAGAAGAAGCCGAUGAGAAAAAACCAGACGAAACAAAGAGGCGAA